CCUACGGGUGGCAGCAGUGGGGAAUAUUGGACAAUGGGGGGAACCCUGAUCCAGCCAUGCCGCGUGUGUGAAGAAGGCCCUCGGGUUGUAAAGCACUUUCAGUGAGGAAGAACGCCUGGUGGUUAAUACCCAUCAGGAAAGACAUCACUCACAGAAGAAGCACCGGCUAACUCCGUGCCAGCAGCCGCGGUAAUACGGAGGGUGCGAGCGUUAAUCGGAAUUACUGGGCGUAAAGCGCGCGUAGGUGGCUUGAUAAGCCGGUUGUGAAAGCCCCGGGCCCAACCUGGGAACGGCAUCCGGAACUGUCAAGCUAGAGUGCAGGAGAGGAAGGUAGAAUUCCCGGUGUAGCGGUGAAAUGCGUAGAGAUCGGGAGGAAUACCAGUGGCGAAGGCGGCCUUCUGGACUGACACUGACACUGAGGUGCGAAAGCGUGGGUAGCAAACAGGAUUAGAUACCCUAGUAGUC
rnacentral:rRNA from 1 species